rnacentral:rRNA from 1 species
CGGACGGGUGAGUAAUGCUUGGGAAUCUAGCUUAUGGAGGGGGGUAACUACGGGAAACUGUAGCUAAUACCGCGUAAUAUCGAAAGAUUAAAGUGUGGGACCUUCGGGCCACAUGCCAUAAGAUGAGCCCAAGUGGGAUUAGGUAGUUGGUGAGGUAAAGGCUCACCAAGCCGACGAUCUCUAGCUGGUCUGAGAGGAUGACCAGCCACACUGGGACUGGGACACGGCCCAG